ACGGGUGCGUAACGCGUGGGAAUCUGCCCUUAGGUUCGGAAUAACAGCUGGAAACGGCUGCUAAUACCGGAUGAUGACGAAAGUCCAAAGAUUUAUUGCCUGAGGAUGAGCCCGCGUUGGAUUAGGUAGUUGGUGGGGUAAAGGCCUACCAAGCCGACGAUCCAUAGCUGGUCUGAGAGGAUGAUCAGCCACACUGGGACUGAGACACGGCCCAGACUCCUACGGGAGGCAGCAGUGGGGAAUAUUGGACAAUGGGCGAAAGCCUGAUCCAGCAAUGCCGCGUGAGUGAUGAAGGCCCUAGGGUUGUAAAGCUCUUUUACCCGGGAAGAUAAUGACUGUACCGGGAGAAUAAGCCCCGGCUAACUCCGUGCCAGCAGCCGCGGUAAUACGGAGGGGGCUAGCGUUGUUCGGAAUUACUGGGCGUAAAGCGCACGUAGGCGGCUUUGUAAGUCAGAGGUGGAAGCCUGGAGCUCAACUCCAGAACUGCCUUUGAGACUGCAUCGCUUGAAUCCAGGAGAGGUCAGUGGAAUUCCGAGUGUAGAGGUGAAAUUCGUAGA
rnacentral:rRNA from 1 species